rnacentral:misc_RNA from 1 species
UACGGAGGGUGCAAGCGUUAUCCGGAUUUACUGGGUUUAAAGGGUGCGUAGGCGGACAUUUAAGUCAGAGGUGAAAUCUCCGAGCUCAACUCGGAAACUGCCUUUGAUACUAUUUGUCUUGAAUUUCGUUGAGGUUGGCGGAAUAUAUCAUGUAGCGGUGAAAUGCAUAGAUAUGAUAUAGAACACCGAUUGCGAAGGCAGCUAACUAAACGAACAUUGACGCUGAGGCACGAAAGCGUGGGGAGCGAACAGG